UAGAUAUAUUAAUUUCAUAGGAACUGCAUCAUAUGCUUACAAUAGCUCACACAUGAGAUAGAUAUACAAUUACAGAUCAUACACAUCAACAAUAGAUAUAGCAGAAAUCGUAGUAGUAAAGUCUCGGCCACACAUCGAUAUUUUAUGUUCAAGGAACACAACAGCAUACAACAUUCCUGAUUCAUACUCCAGCAAAUUCAACAUGGCUGUUAUAAAUUGCAAUACCAGCAUAUAUAUUCAGAGUGGAGCGAUCCUCCAUUUCUGGUGAUCUCCUUUGUUCCAAUAGGCGAGGACAACUUUCGUACCAUUUUGGACACCACCAGAUUUCUUAUCACCACGGAAAGCAUCUACAUUCAGGUGAAUGUUG
rnacentral:misc_RNA from 1 species